GGCUCAGGACGAACGCUGGCGGCGUGCCUAAUACAUGCAAGUCGAACGGUCUUUCUAUGGAAGCUUGCUUCCACUGAGAAGAUAGUGGCGAACGGGUAGAGUAACACGUGGGUAACCUGCCCAUAAGAGGGGGAUAACAUCCGGAAACGGGUGCUAAUACCGCAUAGUUUUCUUGAUCGCAUGAUCGGGAAAGGAAAGACGGCCUUUGUGCUGUCGCUUAUGGAUGGACCCGCGGCGUAUUAGUUAGUUGGUGAGGUAACGGCUCACCAAGACGAUGAUACGUAGCCGACCUGAGAGGGUGAUCGGCCACAUUGGGACUGAGACACGGCCCAAACUCCUACGGGAGGCAGCAGUAGGGAAUCUUCCGCAAUGGACGAAAGUCUGACGGAGCAACGCCGCGUGAGUGAAGAAAGGUUUUCGGAUCGUAAAACUCUGUUGUCAGAGAAGAACAAGUUGGAGAGUAACUGCUCCAGCCUUGACGGUAUCUGACCAGAAAGCCACGGCUAACUACGUGCCAGCCGCAGC
rnacentral:rRNA from 1 species